GAUGAACGCUGGCGGCGUGCCUAAUACAUGCAAGUCGAGCGAACGGACGAGAAGCUUGCUUCUCUGAUGUUAGCGGCGGACGGGUGAGUAACACGUGGAUAACCUACCUAUAAGACUGGGAUAACUUCGGGAAACCGUAGCUAAUACCGGAUAAUAUUUUGAACCGCAUGGUUCAAAAGUGAAAGACGGUCUUGCUGUCACUUAUAGAUGGAUCCGCGCUGCAUUAGCUAGUUGGUAAGGUAACGGCUUACCAAGGCAACGAUGCAUAGCCGACCUGAGAGGGUGAUCGGCCACACUGGAACUGAGACACGGACCAGACUCCGACGGGAGGCAGCAGUAGGGAAUCUUCCGCAAUGGGCGAAAGCCUGACGGAGCAACGCCGCGUGAGUGAUGAAGGUCUUCGGAUCGUAAAACUCUGUUAUUAGGGAAGAACAUAUGUGUAAGUAACUGUGCACAUCUUGACGGUUCCUAAUCAGAAAGCCACGGCUAACUACGUG
rnacentral:rRNA from 1 species